CCCCAUGUUCCCCUCCCACAGCCUCUGCAUCCAUAAAAUCCAGCAUGGUGCUGCUGGAGCCUGGGAUAGGCAGGAAAGCAGUGGGAGCACCAGCAGGUGUUCUUCAAAGACGUGGAGGGAUUUCUGGGUUAAACAGGAUUUCAAUCAUGAUUUUUCCUUUCCCUCAGCUGCCCCAUGAAGUUCUCUUCAGUGUCCCUGCUGGUGGGCUCUGGGUGGUCUUUUCCUGGUGACACGACCCCUGUGUCCCUCGGUCCUUGUCUCAGGGUGGGGAGGUUGGGCUCAGAGGCCUGGGAGAGCUCAGGGAUGACCUUUUACAUCUUAUGUACCCAUUUUCUUCUGCUUGCUGACCAAAUACCGCUUCAAACAAAAACUGGUUGGUAUUAAGGUGUAACAGCAUUUUAACACCACACAGCGUUAGCUCUUUGGAUUUGUUCUGUGUUGCAGGCAUGGAACAAAGCAGGUUGAGGAGGCAGCACCAAAAAAAGCCAAGCAGCUGUGCCUGGAGGAGGGGCUGGGGAUGUGUGUGCACAGCCAGGGCCCGGGAGUUGUGUUUCAGCCUGUGGGUGGUUCAUUAGCAAAGGAAACUUUGCCGGAGCGGUGGUUUGGGAUCGAAAGCCCUUCUCAUUGUCAGCCCCGGCGGCGCUAAUGGAGCCUGGCAGUUCUGGGAAGCGGGAUUUGUGUUUCACGACGUGCCUGACAUUCCUCUGCUUGCGGGCCGGGAAUGUUCUCGGCUGGGAAGAUUUACCCUUGUGGAGGUGAGCCUGUCUAGCACAAAGGAUGGAUUUGAGAUCUGCCAGCCAUGGAGUCCCCUUCAGUUCCUGGAAAGCCCCAGGCAUCUCCCCACAGCUCCCUGGAAAACUCCCUGCAACACCUUGACCCCUCUCUUCCGUGCCCUGUUUUGUGAAAAAAACAUGGCAAAAUAACAUUUCCAUUUUCCAGGGAGAAAUUUUAU